AUUUUUGCCAUGAGUGGCUUGUCCACCAAAUACGGCUUGUCCUUGUGAUCGUACAGUUUGCAUAUGUGACUCCUCUUGACCCUCAGAGUAAAAACUGUCCGAUGCUCUGACUUAAGUUGGCUAUUGCAUGAGACUUUAGUCUGCCUCACUUAUUGCCUCCAUCCUCCCAGCUGAAGGAGCCCCAUAUCCUCCUACACACGGCAUUAAAACAAAAAAUAUAUCUGAUAAUAUUUUUGUGUUUUUC
rnacentral:lncRNA from 1 species